GUUGUUUUGAGAUAACUCUCA
rnacentral:snRNA from 1 species